rnacentral:misc_RNA from 1 species
UCACCNNNAAGCAAUAGUAGGUUAAUUCCUUCUGUUGCAAUUGGUNGNUNAAGGUUUGCUGGUGCCUUUGAUGCAAUUCAGCUCCUUUUAAAUGCAUUAGCAGGACUUUGCAUGACCAGCUUCAGUUUGAUACAAAAGUUAUCCGAGNCGCUGCUGUGAAAGCUCCUAGUCAUCUGCUUCUCGAGCAGUCCUAGUGGACAAAAUGUACUUUGA